AUAUACACCUGGCAGGGGAGUAUCGGUGGUCACGCUGGCCGCUCUCCCAAGGCGAGACUAUCCCAUUGCGCUUCGGGUGUGCUGAUGCCUGCAAGUCCCCAAAUGCAGGACAUCGACAUAUGACUAUAAAACACUCUUGAUUCUUGACUCUUGGCUGCUUCUGCAUAAGGGC